rnacentral:rRNA from 1 species
CAAUCUGCCUUGGAGUGGGGGAAUAACGGUUGGAAACAGCCGCUAAUACCGCAUGAUGUAUCUGUGUCGCAUGGCACUGGAUACCAAAGAUUUAUCGCUCUGAGAUGAGCUCGCGUCUGAUUAGCUGGUUGGCAGGGUAACGGCCUACCAAAGCGACGAUCAGUAGCCGGCUUGAGAGAGUGAACGGCCACAUUGGGACUGAGACACGGCCCAAACUCCUACGGAAGGCAGCAG